AUGGGGCAGGAGGGCCAAUCUGGGGCUGCUAUGGGGCAGCAAUGGGGCAGGGACCCAAUGUGGGGCUGCUAUGGGGCCGUUAUGGGGCUGCUAUGGGGCCACUAUGGGGCAGGGACUCAAUCUAGGGCUGCUCUGGGGCUGCUAUGGGGCAGGGACCCAAUGUGGGGCUGCUAUGGGGCCAAUGUGGGGCUGCUAUGGGGCAGCAAUGGGGCAAAGGGACCCAAUUGUAGGGCUGCUAUGGGCCGCUCAUGGGCAGGGCAUCCUGGGGCUUGCUAUGGGGGCAGGGGCGAAUCUGGGGCCGCUAUGGGGCCACAGCAGGGCUCAGUGUGGGGCUGCUAUGGGGCAGCUAUGGGGCAGGAUGGAUGUUUUUCCACACCCGUGGUUGGUUAUGGUGCGGUUAUGGGCAGCUGUGGCGUCCCCAACUCGGGUUAUGGGCGGAUCUGGAGGUUCGGGUGUUCCCCCGGCAGCCCGCUAAUGGGGGCAGGGAUGGAAGAUAUGGGGCAGGGAAUGGAAGAUAUGGGGCAGGGAUGGAAGAUAUGGGGCAGGGAUGGAGGAUAUGGGGCAGGGAUGGAAGAUAUGGGGCAGGGAUGGAAGAUAUGGGGCAGGGAUGGAGAUAUGGGGCAGGGAUGGGAAUAAUAGGCAGGGAUGGAAGAUAUGGGCAGGAAUGCGAGAUAUGGGGCAGGUGGAGAUAUGGGCAGGGAUGGAAGAUAUGGGCAGGAUGGACAGAUAUGGGCAGGAAUGGAAGCUAUGGGUCACCCCCCACGCGCAGCGCAGUUAUGCGGCAAUUGAUGUGUUUGUUAUGGCUUUAUAGGGCAGCAUAUAGGCAAGCCUAUGGGGCAGCUAUUUGGCAGCUAUGGGCAGCUAAUGGGCAACUAUUAGGGCAGCUAUGGGCGUUAUAG
rnacentral:lncRNA from 1 species